GGUUUUAUACUUUAAAAAAAAGAGUUGUUUUGCAGGCAGAAAAUGAGUGUACUCUAAAACCA
rnacentral:tRNA from 1 species